UCAAAGGCUCUGUUAAGAGCCACCCAUCUGGUCGGAAAAGUGGCUG
rfam:Callithrix jacchus chromosome 19, whole genome shotgun sequence